GAAUGAUAAUAUGAAUAAUUGCACCUGCUUUUAGUUCUCUGGUUAAUGAAUGUUCUAAAUCAUCCAUGCAUGCUGAUUACUGAGACCAAAGAAAAUGUUUAACCAUUAAUGAACAUGCAUAUUCUCCUAUUUAGAAAUUAAAAAGAAAACUAGAAGCAUCCGCGCUUCCACCUGUAUGGCUUCUUCUUCAUGUGUUGCACGAGCUUCUUACGUGGAUAUCCCAACUGGCCAGAAGUUACCUCCCUCUUUCUUCUCCUGCUCCUUUAAAAAACCUCACUCCUCACUUUCCAUUUCACUCUUGCCAACUCCAUCCCUCUGUAGUAUAUUUCUCAAAAAUCAAACAAUGGGUUCCUCUGUAGUAUAUCUUCCUUUAGAGCACAGUCCUCGAAUGCUCAAAGAUUUUCUCACUGAUGAUUCAAAUUCAUGCUCUUCUACUAGCUUCAAAUCAUUUCCUAAAAAGCCAAGCGAUUCUCGCAUUCGAACCCUCAUCCAAAAUGAUCUUAAUGACUCCAAGCUCCUUACAUGUCGAUCAAGAGCAGCCUCAACUACAAUCUCUGCAUUUCAGGCAAUGAUUAACGCCGUCAAGAACAUCCACUUAACUGCCAUUAAGUCUCCAUCAAUUUUACCUAGAAGCCUUUCACGGAGGCCGUCUAGAAGUACAAGGAGCACAUGCAGGGAGAUUAAAACUGAAGACGAAAACAAACAAACUCAAAUCAAAAUUACAGUCACGAUCAAAGACAUCAUGCAGUGGAAAUCAUUUCGAGACCUUGAAGAAGAGAAAUCACCGCCGUUCGAUUUGUCAUCCUCCUCGCAUAACUGCACCACCGCCACUACACCCUGUAGCAGUUGCAGCAGUAAUGGAUCAAGCUGGUGUGACAGUGAUUUCACGUCGGAGUACGGUAAUUUUGAGGAGAAUGAUGACAACGAAGUCGAAGUGGGUAAAAAAUAUUUACGGCGUGUCGGCGAGGAAGAGCACUCAAUGGAGCCGACAAAGCAAUAUACAGCAGUGGGGCUAAAGGAUGGGAAGCAACACAAUAGCCCAUUUUCAGUAAUUGACAUCGAAUUUGAAGAAGAUGAAGAGUCAAGUUCAUUCUUCGAUCAAAGCUUUGCAACGGAGACAAACACCAGCUAUGAAGAAGAAGAAGAGGCAUGGCAAUUACUGAAACAUGUUAAAGAGACGAGUUCAGUUGGGGAAUGCAGAAACAAUCUGGACAGACUGCUGCUGGAUUUUUUUCGAGAUGAAUUGAAAAUAAAGGGAUACCAAAGUAGAAAUGAUAAGUUUGGUUUUGAGAUAUUAAGCAGAGUAAAAGCUUGGAUUGAUGGUGAACAAAGCCUAUGGAUUGGAUGGGAUAAGAAGGAGGCAUAUUUUAGAGAAAUGGAGAGGGAAGGGAAGUGGAUCAAGUUUGAGGAGGAGCAAGAAGAGGUUGCUUUGGCAAUUGAGAAUUGGAUGCUUGAUGAGCUACUGCUUGAUCUCUUCUCUUGAAAUUUGAUGGAUUGGGCCAUUCUGGAAGAACCACUAGUGUCCGGCCCGCAAUGUAUCAGAACAAAUGGAUUGGGCAAGACGAGAAGACGUUGACUCUUCCAAGACAUCACUCAUGUCUCAUGCAACAUUGGCCUCGCUUGUGCUGCAAUUUCGUACACUCAUGUAUACAAAUAAAAACAUGGAAGAUAAUCAGAGAGAUGUAACUGAAUUUUCAUAGCAAUUUAUCAUUGGUUUAAGC
rnacentral:misc_RNA from 1 species